rnacentral:snRNA from 1 species
CGGCGUUCGAAUUGUAGUCUGGA